UGACGAGUUUGAUCCUGGCUCAGAUUGAACGCUGGCGGCAUGGCUAAAACAUGCAAGUCGAACGAGAACUGGCUUCGGCCAGGGACAGUGGCGAAAGGGCGAGUAAUGCGUUUCUAACGUGCCCUCAGGUAAGGGAUAGCUCGGAGAAAUCCGUGGUAAUACCUCAUGAUCCCAGUUGGUCGCAUGACUGGCUGGGCAAAGAUUUAUCGCCUGGGGAUCGGGAAACGUCCUAUCAGCUAGUUGGUGAGGUAACGGCUCACCAAGGCGAAGACGGGUAGCGGGUGUGAGAGCACGACCCGCCGCAUCGGGACUGAGACACUGCCCGGACUCCUACGGGAGGCUGCAGUAACGAAUAUUCCGCAAUGCACGAAAGUGUGACGGAGCAAUGCCGCGUGAAGGAUGAAGCCCCCUCGGGGUGUAAACUUCUGUCAGGGUUUAGGAAUAAUGACCAGACCCAAAGGAAGGGCCGGCUAACUCUGUG
rnacentral:rRNA from 1 species